rnacentral:rRNA from 1 species
AACGAACGCUGGCGGCAUGCCUAACACAUGCAAGUCGAACGAGACCUUCGGGUCUAGUGGCGCACGGGUGCGUAACGCGUGGGAACCUGCCCUUAGGUUCGGAAUAACUCCCCGAAAGGGGUGCUAAUACCGGAUAAUGUCUUCGGACCAAAGAUUUAUCGCCUUUGGAUGGGCCCGCGUUGGAUUAGCUAGUUGGUAGGGUAAAAGCCUACCAAGGCGACGAUCCAUAGCUGGUCAGAGAGGAUGAUCAGCCACACUGGGACUGAGACACGGCCCAGACUCCUACGGGAGGCAGCAGUGGGUAAUAUUGGACAGUGGGCGAAAGCCUGAUCCAGCAAUGCCGCGUGAGUGAUGAAGGCCUUAGGGUUGUAAAGCUCUUUUACCCGGGAUGAUAAUGACAGUACCGGGAGAAUAAGCUCCGGCUAACUCCGUG